rnacentral:misc_RNA from 1 species
AACACUGUUAACCUGCGGUACCUGCGGAAGGAUCAUUACAGAGUUGCAAAACUCCCUAAACCAUUGUGAACGUUACCUAAACCGUUGCUUCGGCGGGCGGCCCGGGUCCUUCCCGGCGCCCCUCGGCCCUCGCGGGCGCCCGCCGGAGGUAAACCAAACUAUUGCAUUUGUAUGGCCUCUCUGAGUCUUCUGUACUGAAUAAGUCAAAACUUUCAACAACGGAUCUCAGAUCGGAAGAGC